rnacentral:lncRNA from 1 species
UGUUAUAAUUUUUGGAAUGGUUCAUAAAUUUUGCAAAUUCUUUUAAAUUUGUAACUUUUAGUUUUUUUCUUUCUUUUUUCCCAAUUGUGAACCAUUCCAUAUUGCAUCUUUAUUGCAAAAGUCAACAUGCUUCUUAGAAAUUCAGAUUGUAAUUGAUAAAACAAACAUUACAUAUAUGAAUUUAAAUGUAUAAACAGUUAGAAAUUCAACAAUAUCUCCUAUUAUACUAUUACACAAGUUCACAAUUUUGUAAAAACUAUAAUACAGGCAUACUAUACAUCAAGAGGAACCACUAUUCCUUUUCACAUGAUUUUUUUCCCACUAGUAAAACCAAGUUGACCAAGUCAGGUUGGUGGUUGUUAUUGCUUAAUAGCUACUUAGAAAGAUGUCAUACACAUUCAAAAGAACAGAAUUUGCCUCAGAUGGUAUGUGUUAUUUCUGUAAGUGA